UCGAGAGUUUGAUCCUGGCUCAGAUUGAACGCUGGCGGAAUGCUUUACACAUGCAAGUCGAACGGUAGAGGGGGCAACCCCUUGAGAGUGGCGAACGGGUGAGUAAUAUAUCGGAACGUGCCCAGUCGUGGGGGAUAACGUAGCGAAAGUUACGCUAAUAUCGCAUACGAUCUAAGGAUGAAAGCGGGGGAUCGCAAGACCGUCGCGCGAUUGGAGCGGCCGAUAUCAGAUUAGGUAGUUGGUAGGGGUAAACGGCUCA
rnacentral:rRNA from 1 species